ACUCAAAGGAAUUGACGGGGGCCCGCACAAGCAGCGGAGCAUGUGGUUUAAUUCGACGCAACGCGAAGAACCUUACCUGGGCUUGACAUGUUCGUGACCCCCCUGGAAACAGGGGUUCUCUUCGGAGCACGAUCACAGGUGGUGCAUGGCUGUCGUCAGCUCGUGUCGUGAGAUGUUGGGUUAAGUCCCGCAACGAGCGCAACCCCCGUCGCAUGUUGCCAGCAUUUAGUUGGGGACUCAUGCGAGACUGCCGGUGACAAACCGGAGGAAGGUGGGGAUGACGUCAAGUCAUCAUGCCCCUUAUGUUCAGGGCUACACACGUGCUACAUUGGCGCGUACAGAGGGCUGCGAUACCGCGAGGUGGAGCGAAUCCCUCAAAGCGCGUCUCGGUUCGGAUUGCAGGCUGAAACCCGCCUGCAUGAAGGUGGAGUUGCUAGUAAUCGCGGAUCAGCAUUGCCGCGGUGAAUACGUUCCCGGGCCUUGUACACACCGCCCGU
rnacentral:rRNA from 1 species